rnacentral:rRNA from 1 species
CAUUACAAGUGAGGCUACCGAACGUUGGAAACAGCGGUUAGGAGCUUACAACCACCCGUGUUUACAUACUAUUGUUGCUUUGGCGGGCCGUGGCCUCCACUGCGGGCUCUGCUCGUGUGUGCCCGCCAGAGAACCAAACUCUGAAUGUUAGUGAUGUCUGAGUACUAUCUAAUAGUUAAAACUUUCAACAACGGAUCUCUUGGUUCUGGCAUCGAUGAAGAACGCAGCGAAAUGCGAUAAGUAAUGUGAAUUGCAGAAUUCAGUGAAUCAUCGAAUCUUUGAACGCACAUUGCGCCCUGUGGUAUUCCGCAGGGCAUGCCUGUUCGAGCGUCAUUUAACCACUCACGCCUAGCGUGGUAUUGGGGCACGCGGUCUCCGCGGCCCUCAAAAUUAGUGGCGGCGCCGGUGGGCUCUAAGCGUAGUACAUACUCCCGCUAUAGAGCUCCCCCGGUGGCUCGCCAGAACCCCCAAUUUUUACAGGUUGACCUCGGAUCAGG